GCCGCUGCAUGGUCCUUUGUGGCGGGGAACGCUGCCCCGGUUGCCAUCCCCGGAGGUGCACGCCGGCCUGCAGUGAUUACUGGGAGAUUAAUUGGGUGUCAAUUCCCAAAAGCUUGGCUUCCCUGACCAAGCUGCGUUGUGAGAGUUCAAUGUGAUGGCGUUCACGCUGAAAAGGCCCCAACCGUACGUCCUUCUGACCGGAUCAUCUGAUUUACCAGUACGCCUCCUUUAACUUGAACCAAUCAGGCAAGAAAACGCGCAGAUCCGGUGUUCUUGUACGCACUGAUCAAUCGGCCGGCGCCGUCGGCCGUGGUGGUGUGAACGAGCCAACGAGGUCCCUGACGUAGUGACAUAUCUCCAGACUGCGGCGGGGCUCUGGUUGGUCAGUAGCACAGCUAAGGUCCUGUUCGUUUUUAUCAAUCCCCCUCAAUCCAUAUGGAUUGGGGUAGAACCGAACAAGCCCUAAGUGGGAAUUGGACCGGCCUAGUUUGGUCCGGCUCUAUAGUGAUUUGAGUCAAAUGCGCCCAGGUUUAUAAGGCUAUUUUUUUUUGAUCGUAUUGUAUCAAUCUAAAGAGUACAAAUGGUGGUCCAGUCCAGUUCUAAAGAACGAGCGCGUCUUCAUUGGAUCGUACCGGCUUAAGUCCGACCCAUAUAUUUAAACC
rnacentral:lncRNA from 7 species